rnacentral:rRNA from 1 species
GUGGAUUAGAUACCCGGGUAGUCCACGCCGUAAACGGUGGGUACUGGGUGUGGGAGGUGUAAUGCCUUCUGUGCCGAAGUUAACGCGUUAAGUACCCCGCCUGGGGAGUACGGCCGCAAGGUUGAAACUCAAAGGAAUUGACGGGGGCCCGCACAAGCGGUGGAGCAUGUGGUUUAAUUCGACGCAACGCGAAAAACCUUACCUGGGCUUGACAUGCCGAGAACCCGGUGGAAACAUUGGGGUGUCCCGUAAGGGAAACUCGGACACAGGUGCUGCACGGCCGUCGUCAGCU